GGUGAACGCUGGCGAGAUGCCUUACACAUGCAAGUCGUACGGGGAUUUUUAAUUCAAGUGGCGGACGGGUGAGUAACACGUAAGAAUUUGCCUUUAGGAGGGGGACAACAACUGGAAACGGUUGCUAGUACCCCAUAUGCUUUCGAGUGAAAUGGAUUUUUCCGCCUAAAGAGAAGCUUGCGGCUGAUUAGCUUGUUGGUGAGGUAAUGGCUCACCAAGGCGACGAUCUGUAGCUGGUCUGAGAGGACGACCAGCCACACUGGAACUGAGACACGGUCCAGACUCCUACGGGAGGCAGCAGUGGGGAAUUUUGGACAAUGGGCGCAAGCCUGAUCCAGCAAUGCCGCGUGCAGGAUGAAGGCCUUCGGGUUGUAAACUGCUUUGUACGGAACGAAACGGUCCUUCUAAUAAAGGGGCUAAUGACGGUACCGUAAGAAUAAGCACCGGCUAACUACGUG
rnacentral:rRNA from 1 species